rnacentral:lncRNA from 1 species
UGUGACACCAUUGCCUGGCCUGGUCCUUUGACCUAGGAGUUCCCACUCUCUUCUAUUCCUGAGAGGCUCUGCUAGAGCCUGACAAAUACAGAGGCAGAUGGGAUGCUCACAGCCAGUCAUUGGGCUGAAUCCUCGGUCCCUGAUGGAGGAGUUAGAGAAGUGACUGAAGGAGCUGAUGUAAUUUGCAGCUCCAUUGGGGGAGCAACAAUGUCAACUAACCAGAACCCUCCCCCACCCCUGCCCCAGAGCUCGGAGGGACUAGACUACUAACCAAAAAGUACACAUGGAGGGACACAUGACUCAUGCUCCAUAUGUUGGACAUCAGUGGGAGGAGUGGCCCUUGGGCCUGAGGAGGUUCAAUGAUCCAGUUUAGGGGAAUAUCAGGAUGGGAAGGUGGCAGUGUGUGGGUAGGUGGGGGAGCAACCUCAAACAGACAGUGGGAUGGGGGAAAGGACAGGGGGUUUUCAGAGGGGAAACCUGGAAAAGGAAUAACAUUUGAAAUGUAAAUAAAAACAAUAAAAACAUAUAUGAAAAAACAAUAACAAAAAACCAUAAAAUAUCUUUAAUUUCUUUCUUUAUCUCUUCCUUGACCAAGUUAUCAUUGAGUAGAGCAUUGUUCAGCUUUCAUGUGUAUGUGGGCUUUCUGUUUUUGUAGUAUUAAAGACCAGCUUUAGUCCUUGGUGACCUGAUAGGAUGCAUGGCAUCAUUUCAGUCAUCUUACAUUUGUUGAGGCCUGUUUUGUGGCCAAUCAUAUGCUCAGUUUAGUAGAAGGUACCAUGAGGUGCUGAGAAGAAAGUAUAUUCUUUUGUUUUAGGACGUAAUGUUAUAUCCAUAUUUGGUAAAUCAAUUUGGUUCAUAUCUUCUGUUAGUUUCGCUAUGUCUCUGUUUAGUUUCUGUUUCCAUAAUCUGUCCAUUGCUGAGAGUGGCAUGUUAAAGUCUCCCACUAUUAUUGUGUGAGGUACAAUGUGUGCUUUGAGCUUUAGUAAAGUUUCUUUUAUGAAUUUGGGUGUCCUUGAAUUUGGAGCAUAGAAUUGUUGAGAGCUCAUCUUGUUAGACUUUCCCUUUGAACAGUAUGAAAUGUCCUUCCUUAUCUUUUUUUUUUUUUUUUAACUUUUGGGUGAAAGUUGGUUUUAUUCGAUAUUAGAAUGGCUGACUACUCCAGCUUUUUUGAGGGGGCCAUUUGCUUGGAAAUUUUUUUCCGGCCUUUUUACUGAGAGGUAGUAUCUGUCUUUGUCACUAAAGUGUGUUUUCUGUAUGCAGCAAAAUGCUGGUUCCUGUUCACAUAUCCAGUUUUUAAUUUAAGUCUUUUAGUUGAGAAAUUAUUAUGAGAUAUUAAGGAAAAGUGAUUGAUGUUUCCUAUUAUUUUUGUUGUUAGAGAUAGAAUUAUGUUUGUUUGGCUAUCUUCCUUUGAGUUUGUUGAAAGAAGAAUAUUUUUUUGCUUUUACUAGGGCAUAGUUUCCCUUCUUGUGUUGGUGCUUUCGAUCUAUUAUCCUUUGUAGGGCUGGAUUUGUGGAAAGAUACUAUGUAAAUUUGUUUUGUCAUGGAAUAUCUUAUUUUGGCAAUCUAUGUUAAUUAAGAGUUUUGCUUGGUAUAGUAGCCUGGACAGGCAUUUGUGUUCUAUUUUGGUCUGUAUGACAUUUGCCCAGGAUCUUCUGGCUUUUACAGUCUCUGGGUAAGAAGUCUGGUGUAAUUCUGAUAGGUCUGCCUUUAUAUGUUAGUUGAUCUUUUUCCCUGACUGCAUUUAAUAUUCUUUCUUUGUUUUGUGUAUUUAGUGUUUUGUUUAUUGUAUGACAGGAGAACUUUCUUUUCUGGUCUACUCUAUGUGGAGUUCUAUAGGCUAGUUAUAUGUUCAUGAGAUCUCUAUCUUUAGGUUAGGGAAGUUUUCUUCUAUAAUUUUGUUGAAGAAAGUUGGGAAGCUUUGCUGUCUUCUAUACCUAUUAUCCAUAGGUUUGGUCUUCUCAUAGUGUCCUGGAUUUCCGAGAAGAUGGGUUUAGGAGCUUUUUGCAUUUUGCAUUUCCUUUGACUGUUGUGUCAAUAUUUUCUAUGGAAUCUUUUGCACCUGAAAUUCUUUCUUCUAUCUCUUGAAGUCUGUUGGUGAUGCUUGCAUCUAUGACUCCUGAUUUAUUUCUCCAGGGUUGUCUCCCUUUGUGACUUCUUAAUUGUUUCUAUUUCCAUUUUUAGAUCUUGGAUAGUUUUGUUCAAUUCCUUCCCUGUUUUGUUGUGUUUUCCUGUAAUUCUUUAAGGGAUUUUUGUGUUUCCUCUUUAAGGGCUUCUACCUGUUUACCAGUGUUCUUCUGUAUCUUUUCUAAGGUAAUUAUUUAUGUCAUUCUUAAAGCCCUCUAUCAUUAUCAUGAGAUGUGAUUUUUAAAUCCAAAUCUUGUUUUUCCAGUAUGAUAGGGUAUCUAGAACUGGCCAUAGUGGGAAUCUAGAGUAGUGGGUAGUGGGAAAACUGGGUUCUGAUGAUGCCAAAUUGCUUUGAUUUCUGAUGCUUAUAAUCAUGUGCUUGCCUCUAGCCAUAUGGUUAUCUCUAGUGCUACCUGCUCUUGCUGUCUCUGGAGUUUGUCCCUCCUGUGAUCCUGGUUGUGUCAGAUCUCCCCAGAGUCUAGCUAUCUCUGUGAUCCUGCAAUUCUGGGGUCCUGUGAUCCCAAGAUCAUGGGUGUGUCAGAGGUUUUGGGAGUCAAGCUAUCUCUGAGAUCCUGAAAUCCUGGUAUGACCAGUCUAUGGAGAUCCUGUUGUGUCAGAGCUCCUGGGAGUCAAAAUUUCUCUGAAUGUUGCUGGGAUGGAUGUGAAGCCAGAGCCUUGGGGUUUCUCUGGGCACAGGUGCAAGCUGGAAGGAAUCUGUGCCUUUGCCUGGGCAUGGGUUUUUGUUUCCCUGAUUCCUCUUGGGUUCCAGUUAUUCUGAGUGUUGGGAAAUAUGUGUGGCCUCAGCUAUGUUCUUGAGUGUGUCAGAAGAGCUCCAGUGCUCCUGUGUUUGUCUGAUAUUCUGGAAAUCAAGCUUCCUCUGUGAUUUUGUGAUUCUGUGAUCCUGUGACCCUGUGAUCCUGGGCAUUUCAGAGUACCUGGCAGUAGGACUCCCUCUGGGUGUUUUAACAGCGAGUGCCGAGCCAUCACCACAGGUAUGCUCUAGGUGCAGGCUCAAACCAGAAGAAACCCAUGCCUCUGCUCACACAUGGGUUCCCUAUUUAUUUAUUUAUUUAUUUAUUUAUUCAUUUAUUUAUUUAUUAAUAUUAACUGUUUUUAUCAUAAUAAAUCUCAUAUCUUACUGCAAAUAUAUAUCUUGCAAUAGUUUCUCUGCCUUUCAUCAGAAUGUUUCCUUUGGACAGAACAUCCAUCUUAUAACUGGAUUAUGUAUCAAAGUUUGACCUAUUUUUAAAGCAACAGAAUACAAAACAAAACAAAUCUCUCUAAUAAAAAUGUAAGGGCUAUCAGAAAUUUUCUAUAUCAUCCCCAGAAACCCAUGCAUCAGAAUAUUUACAGUUGUUCAAAUAUAUAACUGGCAAGUGUUAACUUACUCUAUUAAGUUGUUCACACAUUUAUCUUUACAAAUAAUUUUAAGUUCUCUACAGUUAAAAAUAUCUUAUUCAGUUUUUAACUUUCUAUUGAAAUAUGUAAUAUGCAGUCAUUUAAUUUGCUGAGUAGGUGAAUAUAUCAGAACUCCACAAUAAUAAUAGACAAUACCUAUUGCUUUUCAAUGUUAUGUCCUUGUGAUGGCUAUUCCCAGUUGUGAACUUGACUAUAUAUAGAAUGAACUACAAUACAAAAAUGGAGGACAAACUUGUGAUCCAGAUGUUGAGGCUGGAAGACAUAGACUUUUGAUUCAGAUCUGAGGCAUAGUGGCCAUGAAAAAGCCCAGGCAAGGUGGCACAAAUCUUUAAUCCCAGGAGACUGAAGCAAGCAUAAUUCUGAGGUCAAGGCCAUCCUGGGACAGAGCAAGUUCCAAGUAAAGAAUACUUAGUCCAAGUGUGGAGGUACACAUAUUUCAUCUGGUCAUAACUUCUGCUCUGGAGGCUUAAAUAAGGACAAUGGAAAAAGGAAGUCUUCUCCUUUUCCUUCUCCUUCACCUUCACCUUUUUCUUCUUUACCUGCUUUCACUUACAUGGGAGUUCAUCCAUUGGAGUCAACUACUUUAGGGUUCCAUCUUAUACAAAUUACCAACUGAAAUUCCCAUCUUCAUGGUCUUGAGCAACUACUAAAUCGUUGAACUUCUCAUUCACAGCAGCUUAUUUUGGGACUAGUUGGACUACAGAUUGCAAGUCAUUCCAACAAUUUCCCUUAAUUUAUGGAGACCUUCCAUAAAUUCUGUUGAUCUACUGAACCCUGAGUAAUAUUGUCACUUUGACAAUUUUGAUAUUUUUAAAAUUUCAAAUCCAACAACAUAUCAUGUUGUACUGGGUAGAGUACCUUUAAGUAAAUUAGCAUAGCUGUUUCCCAGAACAUCUUUUAAAAGAUCAAAUAUAAAUUACUUUGUUUUCUGAGGCUAUAUCAAGAAAAAAGAUUACACAGACAAUGGAAAUUAUGUAAAAUAUUAAAAUAUAUAAUUUCAGUUGGUGCCAUAAUCAUGGAACCUGGAGAUUAAUAGUACAAAGGAAUUCUGAGAUGUACAGGUUUAUUUUAAUGUCAAAAUAAAAGAAAUUACAGUCACCUGAGUAAGGAUCUUCAAUAGUCAGAAGCUGAAAAGAACCCAGAUAUUCUUCAAUAGAGGUAUUAUUGAUGCAGAAAAUGUGGUGUAUUUACACAUGGAAUACUAAUCAGCUAUUGAAAACAAUACAUUCAUGAAAUUAAGACAAAAGGAUGGAACUAGAAAAUACUUUCCUGAGUGAGGUAACCCAAUCACUCACACACACACACACACACACACACACACACACCAAACAACCCCCCC